UAGAAAUCACGAAACUAAGCAGAGAAUAUUGAAACACUGAAUGUCAAUCGUUGCAGCACAAGACAAUGCAGAUGAUGUAUGAAACUAUCUACAAGGCGUUAGUGGAGACCGGACUUGAGGGAGCAUUCUCCCCACAAGAUUACCUCAAUUUCUUCUGUCUUGGCAACAGAGAAAUGGUGGAUGGAAUCGAUAACUCGGGAACAGGAAGUCCAAGCAACGCAAACACUCCUCAGGUAAUAAACUGAAUCCGAGACUGUCAUGUAAAUUUGAUUGAUCAUGUUGCUGAGAAGAUGAUUCCUGAUAAUGGUAUGGCAGGCAUUGAGUCGGAAAAGCAGAAGGUUUAUGAUCUAUGUUCACUCGAAAGGGAUGGUCGUAGAUGAUGAAUACGUAGUAAUUGGAUCGGCAAAUAUAAACCAGCGAUCAAUGGAAGGCACAAGAGAUACAGAGAUUGCAAUGGGAGCUUAUCAGCCACAGCAUACAUGGGCAAGGAAACAUUCUGGUCCAAGGGGUCAGGUACAUCCCGAUGAUAAUAACCACAUAAUCAGUUGCGAGUUCAUUUUUUCCGGUUCUAAAGUUAGGAUCAUUGGCUUCUUCUUUUAUGUGUGCAGAUAUAUGGAUACAGAAUGUCGCUGUGGGCAGAGCAUAUGGCAACAUUAGAUGACUGUUUCACCCAACCAGAGAGUAUAGAAUGUGUAAGGAAAGUGAGAACAAUGGGGGAGAGAAACUGGGAACAGUUUGCAGCUGAAGAAGUGUCAGACAUGAGAGGACAUCUUUUAAAGUAUCCAGUGGAAGUGGAUCGCAAAGGCAAAGUCCGACCACUACCUGGGAGUGAGGCGUUCCCGGACGUGGGAGGUAACAUUGUCGGAUCGUUCAUAGCCAUACAGGAGAAUCUAACCAUUUGACAUAUAAGUUACUGAACCAGUGGUGUUGUGGAUAUUUAUUUAUUGAGAGUUGAAAAUUGGUUAAUGGUUUAACUUUUACACAUUGGGUGGGGGGUAUAUAAAGAAUAAAGAUAAUUCAUAUUUGUGGUGUACAAACUGGUUAAUGUAUUUGAAGUUUCUUCCACCAUGUUUCGAGUUCAUCAAUUAGGGACACACCUAUACACUUGUUUAGUUCUUUAGCAGCAUCACAUUUAUGUUUUUGGAUGAAAACACCCCUUCACUACUAUUCCUUUCUAACAGAAAAAAAAAUAUACGCAGUCUUCGUUGUAUUAUAACUGAAAACACUGCACAAACAUAACAGAAGGCAAAAGAUUGUUAUGUUUGAUCCCUCUAUCCUGUAAAGAGUAGCACAUUGAAAAGAAUGCAAACAAAAACUUAAAUACUUUUCCACCCAUAUAUAUAGUUCAGAAACAGAGACAAGGAGAAGAUACAGAAGACGCAAUGUAGGAAGCAAAUGAAUUUCGAGAGACUGUGGUCAACGAUAAAAGAAACUUUAGAUUUUCUUCUAAAGGGAUAGAACAAAGCCUUUAUCUUUCUCAACUCUUGAUCCGUUCGAGUUCUUCUUCAGCUGUUUUCAGCUGCAAUCGCAAUGUGUGUACUCUCCGCUCCUGGUCUUCUACAUUGCUUCUGCUUGUGGUGGGAUGGUACGGCGUUAAGAAGUUAUCCGAGAAUGCCUUUAAGGCUUCCACCCCUGUGACCUGUGAUCCCACCACAUUCCACAGGAACAUGUUUAAAUAAUGUCCAGAGUAAAACGAGUCUUUUGGUUUUUAGGAAGAAAUCUAGAGAAACAACUAAUCGACCUAAUGGACUUAUUCCUAAAAAGUUAUGUUACAUUUAAUAUCUAAUCUUAUCAUUUAAAUUUUGGACCAACCAAAAUUUUUUAUUAGACUAUCAAUAAUUGGAUUUAAACAAUAGAUGAUCAAUUAGAUUUAUAGAUAAUAUAAAUUAAAUAUAUAUAAUUUAAUAUUGUAAUACUAUACCUCUAUAUGCUAAAUAUUUAAAUAUUUGUCGAAGUUAACUUUUAAAAUUAUAAAGAUUUUUUUUUAAAUAACAAAAAUCAUAUUAUCUAACAAUGAUUAAUCUUUACUACCUUAAACCAAUGAAAAAAAAUUUAAACUAUAAAGUUUAUUCUAAAAAUUAAACAAAAACUAAUGUUUAAUUAUUUACUCGAUAAUAUAAAUUUAUGAAGCGAAAAGUUUAAUUUUUUAAAAACUUUACUUCCGGCUAUGCUUCCUCUGAAUCCCCUCAUGGUGUCGACAUGCGUAUGACCCUCUUUGGUAAAGGCUCCUUGAAGGUCCUUUUGCUGCAUGGUAAUUUUGACAUCUGGAUCUAUCAUGCCAAAAACCUCCCUAACAUGGACAUGUUCCAUAAGACUCUCGGUGACGUUUUUGGAGGCCAGCUCAACAGGAAAAUUACCAGUGAUCCUUACGUCUCUGUAUCUGUCGCCGGUGCUGUUAUUGGUAGAACCUACGUUAUGAGCAACAGUGAAAACCCUGUCUGGAUGCAGCAUUUUUAUGUUCCCGUUGCUCAUCAUGCUGCUGAAGUUCAUUUUGUUGUUAAAGACAGUGAUGUUGUUGGUUCUCAGCUUAUUGGAUUGGUUACAAUCCCUGUCGAACAGAUCUACUCUGGCGCCAAAAUUGAAGGCACUUUUCCUAUUCUAAGCAGUAACGGCAAGCCUUGUAAACCUGGUGCUAAUUUAUCACUAUCCAUCCAGUAUACCCCUAUGGAGAAGCUUAGUGUUUAUCAUCAUGGUGUUGGGGCUGGUCCUGAUUACCAGGGGGUGCCUGGAACUUAUUUUCCCCUUAGAAAAGGCGGAACUGUGACCUUGUACCAAGAUGCUCAUGUCCCUGAAGGUAUGCUCCCUGGUAUUAGACUUGACAAUGGAAUGUCUUACCAACAUGGCAAGUGUUGGCAUGAUAUGUUUGAUGCCAUACGCCAGGCCAGGCGUUUAAUUUAUAUCACUGGUUGGUCAGUCUGGCACAAAGUUAGGCUGGUUCGGGAUAAAGUAGGUCCCGCCUCAGCAUGUACUCUUGGUGAGCUCCUAAGAUCGAAGUCCCAAGAAGGUGUGAGAGUCCUGCUUUUGGUUUGGGAUGAUCCAACUUCACGAAGCAUAUUGGGUUAUAAAACAGUACGUUACCACUUCUUUUAGUUUUCUUCUUCUUUAUUUUCUGAUUUUUAUUUCAUAUCUAGUGUGUACAAGUCGGACAUAUUUAGAGUUUCAUUUAUCUAUGGCUCUGGUUUCUUUGACAUUUCUUCUUAUCUAGAGAAUACUUGUUUUUUUAUCUUUUGACUCAUCUUGGUAACUGUACAGGAUGGUGUUAUGGCCACGCAUGAUGAGGAGACACGCCGUUUCUUCAAACACUCCUCAGUUCAAGUCCUGCUCUGCCCCCGUAAUGCUGGAAAGCGACAUAGUUGGGUCAAGCAGAGGGUAGAGUAUCACUUUCUUUUCUUUUUGUGUGUUAAACUAGGUAUCCAGCUUCUAACUAAAUUUUGGUCUAUCAGGAAGUUGGGACAAUCUAUACACACCACCAAAAAAACGUAAUAGUGGAUGCCGAUGCUGGUGCUAACAGAAGGAAAAUUGUAGCUUUCGUCGGUGGGCUUGAUCUGUGUGAUGGCCGAUAUGACACUCCUCAACAUCCGUUGUUUAGGACACUACAAACAAUUCAUAAAGAUGACUUUCACAACCCCACCUUUACGGUACAGUUUGUUGAUAUCCUCUUUCGUUUUAGAAUAUUGGGGAGCUUUCGUGGUAGUUACGUAGUUAGCGAUCACCGUGAAUGGUAGCUAGGACUUCUUUUUCCCCUAAAAUACGAUCUUUGUAUCAUAUAUAACCAAAUAGCUAGUUUAUGAUUCUUGACAAAAGGACUUGUCUUCUCCAAAUCCUUUUCUUGAGCUCUUCACAUUCAUGCAUAGCUCCUCCUGGUGGAUUUUGUCAUUUGUAGACAUCAAAAUUUAUUGAGCUGGAAGAUUGAUUGAUAAACAUAUGUUACCCAAUCUUUUUAUUCUGGAUGGGAUAACCUUAAUUUUUUUGUCAUCAUCUCAUCAGGGAAACCUUUCUGGAUGUCCAAGAGAGCCGUGGCAUGACUUGCACAGUAAGAUUGAUGGCCCAGCUGCGUAUGAUGUGCUAACCAACUUCGAGGAGAGGUGGUUGAAGGCUGCGAAGCCUAGCGGGAUCAAGAAGUUUAAGACUUCCUAUGAUGAUGCGUUGUUGAGGAUCGAUAGGAUUCCAGAUAUAGUAGGAGUUUCUGAUACCCCUACUAUUAGCGAGAACGAUCCUGAGGCUUGGCAUGUUCAGGUAAGAAUAUCAAAACCAUGAUACUGUCAUGAAACCGUGAUUUACAGUCUUUAGCAUUGCGUUGGAGCUAGAGAUGAAUAGAAAGAGUUGAUGAACUUAAGCAUUUAUGUGAAACCAACCAAUAUGUGUCUGCUAUCUUGAUUGAGCAUAUGGUAAUUAGUGACUAGAUUCGUUUAGCAACAUAACGUCUGACAUCAGCUUCCUUGUACCUAUUUCUUCUCUUUAUACUAUUAUCUAGCCAUCGAUAUUUAAUGGGCCUUUCAGGAUUACCUUUAUAUAGUGGUUUCAUUGAGACUAUCAUGCACAGUCGAUAAAAUAAGUCACACUAUCGACUGUGUGAACUGUCCAGGAAAACUCUAUUUUUUGUAUGUGGGUAAAAUAUAGUCGUGGUUCAUAUUACGCUGGCUAAUCUGAUGUUUUUUUUCUGGUUUGAUUCAGAUUUUCCGUUCAAUCGAUUCAAACUCUGUAAAAGGUUUCCCAAAGGAUCCAAAAGAUGCUACAUGCAAGGUGACUUGAAAAUCUUUUCUUUUGUGCUUGGAUGUCUAAAUAUUUUGAAAAAUUAAUCCAUGUAAAGCUUUUGUUUUGAAUAGAACUUGGUGUGUGGGAAGAACGUGCUCAUUGAUAUGAGCAUACACACAGCCUAUGUCAAGGCAAUUCGUGCAGCUCAACACUUCAUAUAUAUUGAGAAUCAAUAUUUCAUUGGGUCUUCCUACAACUGGAAUGCGCACAAGGACAUAGGUUCAGUUACAUAUCUCUGCUUGUUUAUUUCAAGAAUACAAAGAAAACUAAGUUCUUUUUUUUUCCCUUACAAUUAUGAUUUCAUUAUCCUAGCCUAGGAUAGGCAUCAUACGUUUUUGUCUGCAUACUUUAAAUUGUGUCACGUGUUACUUGUCUACCAUCUACUUCUUAACUUUGUACAAAGCUUUAGCUUACUUUUUCAAUUUGUGCGUCUCUGAUUUUUCUUGAUGUUUUUAGGAGUUGUAAUUGGCUCUCAACGUUGCUAUACAAUGUUUUGUUUUGUUGUGUAGGUGCUAAUAAUUUGAUUCCUAUGGAAAUUGCGUUGAAGAUAGCUGAAAAGAUAAGGGCAAAUGAACGGUUUGCUGCAUAUAUAGUCAUUCCAAUGUGGCCAGAAGGUGUUCCAACUGGUGCUGCUACCCAGAGGAUUCUGUACUGGCAGGUAUAUAUUUCCGAGUAAAUAUGCUCUUGUUGUCUAGAAAUCACGAAACUAAGCAGAGAAUAUUGAAACACUGAAUGUCAAUCGUUGCAGCACAAGACAAUGCAGAUGAUGUAUGAAACUAUCUACAAGGCGUUAGUGGAGACCGGCCUUGAGGGAGCAUUCUCCCCACAAGAUUACCUCAAUUUCUUCUGUCUUGGCAACAGAGAAAUGGUGGAUGGAAUCGAUAACUCGGGAACAGGAAGUCCAAGCAACGCAAACACUCCUCAGGUAAUAAACUGAAUCCGAGACUGCCAUGUAAAUUUAUCGAUCAUGUUGCUG
rnacentral:lncRNA from 1 species